rnacentral:misc_RNA from 1 species
AAGUCGUAACAAGGUUUCCGUAGGUGAACCUGCGGAAGGAUCAUUUGAGUUCUUUCUCCUUUUAUUGGGGGAAUUCAAUUCAUCUAUAUAAACAAAGUCAACUGUGUGGAAGUGUACUGAUGACAAAAAAAAGAGACGAGCUGCAGCCAUUCGUCAAAAGCGUGUGCGUUCCCAUCCAUGUAAGAGUGGGUGGGAGCGUGCUGCUGCUGCGCUCUCUCACUUUUUUUCGUCUGCUUUCUAUAUGCACUCUGUGCGAUGGAUAAAACUCAAUGAGAAACACAUGCCCAAAGCAUUCAAACCAAAAGAAUGAAACCAAAAUGAACAGUUUUAACGGUGGAUCUCUAGGCUCGC